rnacentral:rRNA from 1 species
ACGAACGCUGGCGGCGUGCUUAACCCCUGCAAGUCGAACGGUGAAGCCCUUCGGGGUGGAUCAGUGGCGAACGGGUGAGUAACACGUGAGCAACCUGCCCCUGGCUCUGGGACAACCACUGGAAACGGUGGCUAAUACCGGAUACGACCCGCCUCGGCAUCGAGUGUGGGUGGAAAGUUUUUCGGCUGGGGAUGGGCUCGCGGCCUAUCAGCUUGUUGGUGAGGUGAAGGCUCACCAAGGCGACGACGGGUAGCCGGCCUGAGAGGGCGACCGGCCACACUGGGACUGAGACACGGCCCAGACUCCUACGGGAGGCAGCAGUGGGGAAUAUUGCACAAUGGGCGAAAGCCUGAUGCAGCGACGCCGCGUGAGGGAUGACGGCCUUCGGGUUGUAAACCUCUUUCAGCUCCGAAGAAGCGAAAGUGACGGUAGGAGCAGAAGAAGCACCGGCUAACUACGUG